rnacentral:lncRNA from 1 species
GUGGACUGAGCUGUGGAAUGCCAAUCCCACCAUAUAGCUUGCAGCACAGCUCAAGGAGCACCUAUUGUGAAGUGAAUGCACUCUGUUAUUUUCCUUUCUCUCUUUUAUUUUCUCUGUUAAUUCCCUCUUAAGAUAUCAGUGGUAUCAGAGCAAUUACCUGCUCUGUGGGUGUGCUGCCAUGGAUGGUGAGAUGGAUGAAGUUUUGACGCCGCUCGAUCGAAUGGUUGUGCGACAAGACCAGCUCGAAUCGGUGCAUGAAAGCGCCUUUCGCGAGUUGAAGGACACGAUUGGGAUUGUUCGAAGCAUAGAGAAGGAUAAGCAGCAAGCCUUACUGGCAUCAUCGUCGAAGGAACUGUAUUCUCCAACUAUUGGACCAGGGGAUCUAUCAGGUAUCCAAAAUGCUUCCUCUCCUCGUCAAUUUGUAGCUCUUAGUAGCUCUGUUCAAACCAAAUGUCACCAGGCUAUCCCAAUUUUGAAAUCGUAUUUAACCCCAGUUUCAUUACCAAUUCCAAAUUCUCAAUUUCCCAGUUCCCAACUCCCAGCUAAUUUCGUUACAUUACCACUUCAAUCCCCUCGCUUACCAAAUCUUUAUACCCCCAAACCCAGUUUUGCUCAAAUUCCUAAUUCUCAGAUGGUUGGUAACCCUGUAUCAGCUCUGAUGUAUAGUCCUAACUUUACCCAUCAAUUACCUCCAUAUACGUAUCCUUUUUAGAAUCUCUAUGCCUCAUACUCACCAAACUCAGCUCACUAUAACUUCUCUUCUUUCCCAUAUAACCCAGACUAAAAUUACCCAAAUCCAACCCUACAUUACCAUAACCCAAACCAGUACAACACCCUUCCACUACUCCCAAAUCACCAAACACUCACCAGGUUGUCAAAGAUAGAGUUAUCCAGGUUCAAUGGAAAGGGAUUUCAGGAAUAGUGGUAUAGAUAUGAACAAUUUUUCUCAUUAGAUGAGGUCCCUUCUAGACAAAAAGUCAUUAUUGCUGCUAUACAUUUGAACGACAUUGCUCUUCAAUGGCAGCAAGCAUACAUGAGGAGCAGGGCCCAUCUCCCAUAUCCUACAUGAAAUGAGUACCUUUUCGCACUGACUGAUCAAUUUGGGGCAGAAUAUGAUGAUCCCAUGACUGAACUGGUUAAUUUAGGCAAACUGGAGGUGUGGUUGAGUUCCGGGAGGUGUUUGACAGAGCCAUGACUCGACUUAACUUGGAUCCCAACCAUGUUAUAAACAUCUUUUUGAAUGGGCUGAAGCCAGAGUUAGGAGAUGCAGUUCGAAUCCACAGACCCUUUUCACUUCCCUGAGCUUAUUAUUUGGCAAAAUUACAGGAAUCAAUAUUCCUCAAACAGUCUAAAGCUAUGAGGUGUUCAACUGUUUAUCCUAGUACUUCUUCUAGAGCCAACUCAUUGUAACGACCCGGCUGGUCAUUUUAAGAGAAUUAGCCCUGAACCCCUAUUUAUUGCUCCCUCUAUUUCAUUUUGUGGUUACGUGACUAACCGGGAGGAUUUGUUUUUAGUUUCGAAGUGAAAUGGGACACAUAGUCCCUAAAAUAGAAGUUUAAGUCAUAAGAAUUGAUCGUAAUUUGAAUUGAGUGAAGAUGACUCUGGAAUGGAGUUUUGAUGGUUCCAAUAGCUACGUAGGGUGAUUUUGGUCAUAGGAGCGUGUUCGGAUGUUGAAUUGGAGGUCUGUAAGUCAUUUUAGCGUCAAUUGGCGAAAGUUGGAAAAUUGGAUGAUUUUUGAAAAAUUUGAUCGGGGGUGGACUUUUUGAUAUCGGGGUUAGAUUCUGAUUCCGGAAGUUGGAGUAGGUCCGUAAUUCCAAUUAUGACUUGUGUGUAAAAUAUUAGGUCAAUCAAACUUGAUUUGAUAGGUUUCGACAUCGGAUGUAGAAAUUUAAAGUUUUAAAGUUCAUUAGGCUUGAAUCGAUGUGCAAUUCAUGUUUUUAGCAUUGUUUGAUGUGAUUUAAAGGCUCGAUUAAGUUCGUAUGAUAUUUUAGGACUAGUUGGUAUAAUUGGUCGAGGUCCCGGGAGCCUCGGGUGGAUUCCGGAUGGUUAACGGAUCAAUUUGAACUUGUGAGAAUGGCUAAAGGCACCAGGUCUGGUGCAACCGCACCUGCGCAAGAUUGACCGCAGGUGCGAGCUCACAAAAGCGAGCGGGCGAUCGCAGAUGCGGUGAUGAUGAGGAUGGCCAAUGGUCACAGGUGCAGCGUGAAGGCCGCAGAAGCAGAGUCGCUUCUGCGAAAGAUUGAUCGCAGAAGCGGACAAGUGCUUGGGAGGCUUGUCCGCAGAAGUGGGCUUUGGACCGCAUAAGCGGUUGGCCAGCGGCAGUGACCUUCCACAGAAGCGGACGAGGGGCCGCAUAUGAGGAUGAUUGUGCGCAGGUGCGGAGUCUGGGAGUUCAACUGAACUCCACAUAUGCGAAGAUUUCACUACAAAAGCAAAUUUUUGACCACAAAAGCAAAAUCGCUAGGCAGAAAAGGGCCAAGUCCGAGGGUUUGAUUUCAUUCUCCAUUUUUGAAUCAAGAGAGCUCGGAUUGAGGAGAAAUUUUGAGGGUUUUUCAUAGGAAACAUUUGGGUAAGGAUUCUUGACUUAUUUUUGAUUUAUUUCCACUCAGAAAUCAUUUAUUCUUCAUUUAAUUAAGGAUUUGGGUUGAGAAAUUUGUGAAAAAGGUGAAAAGAUCCUUAAUUUUGAGGUUUUGAUUGAGAACUUUGUAUCGAAUUUGAGUAAUUUUGGUAUGGGUGAACUCGAUAUCGAAUGGGUGUUCGUAAUUUUUGACUUUUACCCGAUUCCGAGACAUGGGCCUGGGUCGACUUUUUGGGGCGAUUUUUCAAUUCCUUGCUAAAGUCGUAGUUUCAUUAUUUAAAUUAAUAUCUUGUAGUUGUAUUUAUAGUAUGUAAUUACUUUUGGCUAGAUUUGGGACGUUCAGAGUCGGAAAGUCGAGGGAAANNNNNNNNNNNNNNNNNNNNNNNNNNNNNNNNNNNNNNNNNNNNNNNNNNNNNNNNNNNNNNNNNNNNNNNNNNNNNNNNNNNNNNNNNNNNNNNNNNNNNNNNNNNNNNNNNNNNNNNNNNNNGGGGCAAAUCCCCUUAGGAUUUGGUACUGUUGUAACAAUUUGUGAUAUGUGAGUAUCGUGUACGCGAGGUGACGAGUGCGUACACGGGCUAAAUGUGAAGAUUAUGGCUCUUGCUGAGUAGUCUUCUUUUAAUUCCUUAACUGAGUUGCCUUAGCAUGUGUAGUUAUCAUGUUUAGCCUAGUAUCACAUGCCUACGUGUCUUAACUCUUACUUGCAAUUUGUGCAACAUGCUUAGUUGAAUUACCUACUUCCUUGACUUUGUAUUCAGUCUUUAACUGUAGGAUUCCUUGCUGCAAAAUUCAUUGUUCCAUAAGUUACGAGUUGUGUAGUUACUUUUAGGACUACGAGGCGGUAGCUCGGGAGAUCCCCGUUGCAUAUUUACUUUUGGGAAUACGAGGCGGUACCUCAGGAACUCCUCGUUGCAUAUUUACUUUUGGGACUACAAGGCGGUUCCUGGGGAGCUCCCUUGUUGUUUAUUUAUGUUUGGGACUACGAGGCAGUACCUCGAGAGCGCCCCGGUUGUUUACCUCUAUUUGCUGUGUUGUUAUCUUUCUGUAAUUUCUCAUUGUUAAAUUCUCAGUCAUUUCACUAUAUUAUUAUAUUUUCUGCCUUAUUUCCUUUUACUCCAGUAGGGGCCUAACCUGACCUCGUCACUACUCUACCGAGGUUAGGCUUGGCGCUUACUGUGUACUGUUGUGGUGUACUCAUGCUACUCUUCUGCACAUCUUUUUGUGCAGAUCCAGGUUUUUCCUACCAGGCCAGAUACUAGUAAGAUAGCCUGUACGUGAAAACUUCAAGGUACAUCUGCCAGCGUCCGUAAACCUCAGAGUCCCCCUCUAUCCUUAUUAUGUUGUUUUCCUUAUUUUCCUUAGACUCUAAUGUAUAGAGACACUUAGUUUGAACCGCAGUUUUUAUAUAUUUCAUAUGUUGAGGUUUGAGUUGAGUUUUAUAUUCCGUUAUUCCUCAAAAUUGUUAGGAUUACCUAGUCAUAGAGACUAUGUGCCGUCCCGACAUCCUACGGAGAGAAAUUUGGGUCGUGACAAGUUCGUAUUAGAGCUCUAUGUUCAUAGGUGUUAUGAGUCACAAGCAGGUUUAGCAGAGUCUCGCGGAUCGGUACGGAGACGUUUGUACUUAUCUUUGGGAGGCUAUGAAACUGUUAGGAAAAUUUCACUUCUUUGAUUCCUUGUCGUGCGAAACUUGUUGACUUCGGGAUUCUUAACUUCUAUCUUUCUAUUCUCUCACAGAUGGUGAGGAUACGUACAACUGGAUUAGAUGACUAGACACCCGCGCCCCCUACUAGAGCCAUGAGAGGCCGGGGUCAGGGCAGGGGUAGAGGCUGAGGAAGUCCACGUGGUGCAACCAGAGCACCCGCAUGAACUGCUAUAGAUGAGCCACCAGUAGCUCCAGUUGGAGGACAGGCACCUGAGACACUUGUUACUGCACCAGCCCUCCAGGAGACUCUAGCAUAGUUUCUGAGCAUGUUCAGCACCUUGGCUCAGGCAGGAUUGAUACCACUUGCUCCUGCCACAUCUCAGGCCAGGGGAGGACUCCUACCGCCUGUACCCCAGAUCAGUGGGUUCAGGUCGACCAGGUUCCAGAGAUCAUACUGAUGCAGCCGGUAGCUCUAGUUCAGCUCGAGGUUGGGGCAGCAUUUUUUGAAGGGGAGCAGCUCAGGCUCGAUAGGUACAAGAAGUACCAUCCUCCUACUUUCAGUGGUUUGGCGUCAGAGGAUGCCCAGAGUUUUCUUGAGGAGUGCCACUGUAUCCUCCGUACUAUAGGUGUUGCAGAGUCUAGUGGGGUUUCCUUCACUAUGUUUCAUCUUAUAGGAGAGGCAUAUUAGUGGUAGCGAGCAUACUGUUCGGGAAAGGGUUCGUCGAUUUAUUGAGGGGCUCAACCCCAGUAUCAGAUUUAGCAUGGCCCGAGAGUUGAAGAUAGAUAUUGCGUACCAACAGGUAGUGGGGAUUGCUAGGAGGUUGGAGGGUAUGCUGACUCGGGAGAGAGAAGAGAGAGAAGCCAAGAGGUCUCAAGAGUCUGGCACUUAUAGUAGUACUCGUGCCCCAGCUACAGCUCGUCAGGGCAGGGGUUAUAUGGAUAUGAGUCGCCCUGUUCACUCAGCACUUCCAGCCGCCAGCGGUGCUCCGGCCACUCCUAGGCCCCAGGAUCACUAUUAUGCACUGCCGGUGUCUAGUGCACCUCCUGUACGAGGUGCUUUCAGUGGUCAAUCUAGCCGAUCAGGCCCGAGCCAGCCACAACAACCACAUCCUCCGAGAGCUUAUUUUGAGUGUGGUGACACUUGCCAUAUAGUGAGGGAUUGCCCCACACUUAAGAGGGGUACACCUCCACAGAUUUCUCAGGCACCGAGUGCUCCACCGGGUCCUCAUGCUAUGAUUACAGCACCAGCUACCACUCCACCUGCACCACUAGAUCGAGGUGAAAGUCGAGCAGGUCGAGGUCGCCCUAGAGGGAGAGGCCAGGCCAGAUAAUAUGCUCUUCCUACUAGGGUGGAUGCAGUUGCAUCCGAUUCUGUCAUCACAGGUAUUGUUCCGGUCUGUCAUAGAGAUGCAUCAGUCUUAUUGGAUCCAGGCUCCACUUAUUCCUAUGUGUCAUCUUAUUUUGCUCCAUAUUUGGGUGUAUCCCGUGAUUCUCUAAGUUCACUUGUCUAUGUGUCUACACCCGUGGGUGAUUCUAUUGUUGUUGACCAUGUGUAUUGGUCGUGUUUGAUUGUUCUUAGUGGUUUUGAGACCAAAGCCGAUUUAUUAUUGCUCAGUAUGGUGGAUUUCGAUGUUAUUUUGAUCAUGGACUGGUUGUCGCCCUAUCAUGCUAUCCUUGAUUGUCACGCCAAGACGGUGAUAUUAUCUAUGCCAGGUUUACCGCGGCUAGAGGGGAGAGGUACCUUAGAUCAUGUUGCUAGCAGGGUUGUCUCAUUUCUUAAGGCUCAGCGAAUGGUUGAGAAAGGGUGUGAUGCAUAUCUAGCUUAUGUGAGGGAUGACAGUUUUGAUACUCCUACCGUUGAGUCAGUUCUAGUAGUGGGGGAUUUUCCAGAUGUAUUCCCGGCAGAUCUUCUGGGCAUGCCGCCCGACAGAGAUAUCGACUUUGGCAUUGAUUUGUUACCGUGCACUCAGCCUAUUUCUAUUCUACCUUAUUGUAUGGCCCCGGCAGAAUUGAAAGAAUUAAAGGAACAGUUGCAAGAGUUGUUCGAUAAAGGCUUCAUUUGGCCCAAUGUGUCACCUUGAGGUGCUCCUGUCUUGUUUGUAAAUAAGAAGGAUGGUUCUAUACGAAUAUGUAUUGAUUAUCGCUAGUUGAACAAGGUUGCAGUUAAGAACAGGUAUCUAUUGCCACGUAUUGAUGACCUAUUUGAUCAACUUGAGGGUGCCAGAGUGUUCUCUAAGAUCGACUUGCGUUCAGGCUAUCAUCAGUUGAAGCUUCGGGAGCCAGAUAUCCCAAAGACUACUUUCAGGACUCGGUAUGGUCAUUAUGAGUUCCUUGUGAUGUCUUUUGGGCUGACCAACAUCCCAGCAGCAUUCAUGCACUUGAUGAAGAGUGUAUUUCAACCCUAUCUUGACUUUUUUGUCAUUGUAUUUGUUGACAACAUUCUGGUGUACUCCCGAAGUCAGGAGGAUCAUGAGCAGCACCUGAGGACUGUGCUUCAUACCUUGAGAGAAAAGAAGUUGUAUGUAAGAUUUUUGAAGUGUGAAUUCUGGCAAAACUCAGUGUCAUGUUUUGGGCCAUGUAGUAUCGAGUGACGGGAUCAAGGUAGAUCCGAAGAAGAUUGAAUCAGUGCAGAGUUGGCCCAGACCAUCCUCAGCUACGGAGAUCCGAAGUUUUCUUGGCUUGGCGGGGUAUUACUGCCGAUUUGUAGAGGGUUUCUCGUCUGUUGCAGCACCUAUAACCAGAUUGACCCAAAAGUGUGCUCCGUUUAUAUGGACCGAAGAGUGUGAAGAGAGCUUUCAAAAGCUCAAGACUGCUUUGACUACAACCCCAGUGUUGGUGUUAUCUACUGGUUCGGGGUCCUAUAUGGUGUAUUAUGAUGCGUCGCGUAUUGGUCUCGGCGCGGUGUUGACGCAGGAUGGUAGGGUGAUUGCCUACGCCGUCUAGACAGCUGAAGGUACAUGAGAAGAACUAUCAUGUCCACGACCUCGAGUUAGUAGCUAUUGUUCAUUCCUUGAAGAUCUGGCGGCACUAUUUGUAUGGUGUCCCUUGUGAGGUUUUCACCGAUCACCGGAGUCUACAGCAUCUGUUUAAACAGAAGGAUCUUAACUUGCGGCAGCGAAGAUGGUUGGAGAUGCUUAAGGAUUAUGACAUCACUAUCAUCUAUCAUCUCGGGAAGGCCAAUGUGGUGGCCGAUGCCUUCAGUAGCAAGGCGGAGAGUUUGGGUAGUUUAGCAUAUCUACCAAUAGUAGAGAGGCCUUUAGCCUUGGAUGUUCAGGCCUUGUCCAACCAGUUUGUCGGAUUGGAUGUUUCCGAGCCGAGCAGAGUUUUGGCUUGUAUGGUCUCUUAGUCUUCUCUUUAUGGUCGUAUCAGAGAGCGUCAGUAUGAUGACCCCCAUCUGCUCGUCCUUGAGGACACGGUUCAGCACGAUGAUGCCAAAGAAGUCACCAUUAGAGAUGACGGUGUAUUACAGAUACAGGGCAGGCUAUGUAUGCCCAAUGUAGAUGGUUUGCGUGAGUUGAUUCUCCAGGAGGCUCAUAGUUUGCGGUACUCCAUUCAUCCAGGUGUCGUGAAGAUGUAUCAGGACUUGAGGCAGCAUUAUUGGUGGAGGCGGAUAAAAAAGGACAUAGUGGAAUAUGUAGCUCGUUGCCUAAAUUGUCAGCAUGUGAAGUAUGAGCAUCAGCGGCCAGGGGGAUUACUUCAGAAGCUAGAGAUUCCGGAGUGGAAAUAGGAGCGGAUCACUAUAGAUUUUGUUGUUGGGCUCCCACGGACUCAGAGGAAGUUCGAUGCAGUUUGGGUGAUUGUGGAUAGAUUGACCAAGUUAGCUCAUUUCAUUCAUGUGGUUACUACUUACUCUUCGGAGCAGCUUGCUCAGGUUUACAUUCGCGAGAUUAUCAGGCUUCAUGGCAUGCCGGUAUCUAUCAUUUCUUAUCAGGGUACGCAGUUUACAUCACGGUUCUGGAGACCCGUACAGCAUGAGUUGGGUACUCGGGUGGAGUUGAGUACAAUAUUUCACCCUCAGACGGACGGACAGUCCGAGCGCACUAUUCAUAUAUUGGAGGAUAUUCUUCGCGCAUGUGUGAUGUAUUUUGGGGGUGCUUGGGAUCAGUUCUUGCCACUUGCGAAGUUUGCCUACAACAACAGUUAUCAGGCGAGUAUUCAGAUGGACCCGUAUAAGGAUUUGUAUGCUAGACGGUGCUGGUCUCCAGUGGGUUGGUUUGAGUCGGGCGAGGCUAGGUUAUUGAGUACGGACUUGGUUCAGGAUACUUUGGAAAAGGUUAAAUUGAUUCAGGAUUGACUUCGUAUAGUCAAGUCCAAGAAGAAGAGUUAUGCAGAUCGAAAGGUUCGCGACGUUGCAUUCAUGGUUGGGGAGCGGGUCUUGCUCCGGUUUUCGCCCAUGAAUGGUGUUAUGAGGUUCGAAAAGAAGGGCAAGUUGAGCCCUAAGCAUAUCGGGCCUUUUGAGAUUCUUGAGAGGGUCGGGAAGGUGGCUUAUAGACUUGCACUAUCACCUAGUCUCAUUGCAGUUCAUCCAGUGUUCCAUGUUUCCAUGCUUCGGAAGUAUCACGGUGAUCCAUCUCAUGUGUUAGACUUCAUCUCAGUCUAGCUGAACAAAGAUCUAUCUUAUGUUGAGGAGCAGUGGCCAUCUUUGACAGGCAGGUCCUAAAGUUGAGAUCAAAGAAUAUCGCUUCAGUGAAGGUGCAGUGGAGGGGUCAUCCAUUCGAGAAGGCAAAUUGGGAGAUCGAGCAUGAUAUGUAUAGCCGAUAUCCUCAUCUUUUCACCACUUCAGGUAUGUCUCUAUACUCAUUCGAGGACGAACGUUUAUUUUAAGAGGAGGAGGAUGUAACGACCCGGUCAGUCGUUUUGAGAGAAUUAGCCUCGAACCCCUAUUUAUUGCUUAUUCUAUUUUAUUUUGUGGUUACGUGACUAGCCGAGAGGAUUUGUUUUUGGUUUCGGAGUGAAAUGGGACACCUAGUCCCUAAAAUGGAAAUUUAAGUUGUAAGAAUUGACCGUAGUUCAAAUUAAGUGAAGAUGACUCCGGAAUAAAGUUUUGAUGGUUCCAAUAGCUCCGUAGGGUGAUUUUUGUCUUAGGAGCGUGUUCAGAUAUUGAAUUGGAGGUCCGUAGGUCAUUUUAGCAUCAAUUGGCGAAAAUUGGAAAAUUGGAUGAUUUUUGGAAAGUUUGAUUGGGGGUGGACUUUUUGAUAUCGGAGUCGGAUUCCGAUUCCGGAAGUUAGAGUAGGUUUGUAAUGUCAAUUAUGACUUGUGUGUAAAAUGUGAGGUUAAUCGGACUUGAUUUGAUAGGUUUCGGCAUCAGAUGUAGAAGUUUGAAGUUUCAAAGUUCAUUAGGCUUGAAUCGAUGCGCAAUUCGUGUUUUUAGCGUUGUUUGAUAUGAUUUAAAGGCUCGACUAAGUUUGUAUGAUGCUUUAGGACUGGUUGGUAUAAUUGUUCAAGGUCCCGGGGGGGCCUCGGGUGGAUUCCGGAUGGUUAGCGGAUCAAUUUGGACUUGUGAGAAUGGCUGAAGGCACCAGGUCUGGUGCAAUCGCACCUGCGCAAGAUUGACCGCAGGUGCGAGCUCGCAGAAGCAAACUGGCGAUUGCAUAUGCGGGGAUGAUGAGGAUGGCCAGUGGUCACAGGUACGGCGUGAAGGCCGCAGAAGCGGAGUCGCUUCUGCGGAAGAUUGAUCAGAGAAGCGGACGACUGCUUGGGAGGCCUGUCCGCAGAAGCGGAUGUAUUUGCGCAGAUGUGCACCUGCAGAAGUGGGCUUUGGACUGCAUAAGCGGUUGGCCAGCGGCAGUGACCUUCCGCAGAAGUGGACGAGGGGCCACAGAUGCGGAUGAUUGUGCGCAGGUGCGGAGUCUAGGAGUUUAGCUGAACUCCGCAUAUGCGGAGAUUUCACUGCAAAAGCGGUACCGCAGAAACGGAUUUUUGACCGCAAAAGCGAAAUCGCUGGGCAGAAAAGGGCCAAAUCCGAGGGUUUGAUUUCAUUCUCCAUUUUUGAACCAAUAGAGCUCGGAUUGAGGCGAACUUUUGAGGGUUUUUCAGAGGAAACAUUUGGGUAAGGAUUCUUGACUUGUUUUUGAUUUAUUUCCACUCAUAAAUCAUUUAUUCUUCAUUUAAUUAAGGAUUUGGGUUGAGAAAUUUGUGAAAAAGGUGGAAAAUCCUUAGGCAGAAAUUUGAGGUUUUGAUUAAGAACUUUGUAUCGAAUUUGAGUAAUUUUGGUAUGGGUGAACUCGAUAUCGAAUGGGUGUUCGUAUUUUUUGACUUUUACCCGAUUCCGAGACGUGAGCCCGGGUAGAAUUUUUGGGGCAAUUUUUUAAUUCUUUGCUAAAGUCGUAAUUUCAUUAUUUAAAUUAAUUUCUUGUAGUUGUAUUCAUAGUAUGUAAUUGCUUUUGGCUAGAUUUGGGCCAUUCAGAGUCGCAAAGUCGAGGGAAAGGCAUUCUUAUCGAUUGAUUGAGCGAGAUUUGAGGUAAGUGACUUGUUUAACCUUAUGUGGGGGAAAUCCCCUUAGGAUUUGGUACUGUUGUAACAAUUUGUGAUAUGUGAGUGUCGUGUACGUGAGGUAACAAGUGCGUACACGAGCUAAAUGUGGAGAUUCUGGUUCUUGUUGAGUAAUCCUCUUUUAAUUCCUUAACCGAGUUGCCUUAGCAUGUGUAGUUAUCAUGUUUAGCCUAGUAUCACAUGCCUACGUGUCUUAACUCUUACUUGCAAUUUGUGCAACAUGCUUAGUUGAAUUACUUGCUUCCUUGAUUUUGUAUUCAGUAUUUAAGUGUAGGAUUCCUUGCUACAAAAUUCGUUGUUCCAUAAGUUACGAGUUGUGUAUUUACUAUUUGGACUACGAGGCGGUACCUCGGGAGCUCUCUGUUGCAUAUUUACUUUUGGGAAUACGAGGCGGUACCUCGGGAGCUCCCCGUUGCAUAUUUGCUUUUGGGACUACGAGGCGGUUCCUCGAGAGCUCCCCUGUUGUGUAUUUACGUUUGGGACUAUGAGGCGGUACCUCGGGAGCGCCCCGGUUGUUUACCUCUAUUUGAUGUGUUGUUAUAUUUCUGUAAUUUCUCAUUGUUAAAUUCUCAGUCAUUUCACUGUAUUAUUAUAUUUUCUGCCUUAUUUCCUUUUAUUCCAGUAGUCCCCUCAUCUGACCUCGUCACUACUCUACCGAGGUUAGGCUUGGCACUUACUGAGUACUGUUGUGGUGUACUCAUGCUACUCUUCUGCACAUCCUUUUGUGCAGAUCCAGGUUCUUCCUACCAGAGCAGAUACCAGUGAGAUAGCCUGUACGUGGAGACUUCAAGGUACAUCUGCCAGCGUCCGCAAAUCUCGGAGUUCCCCUCUAUCCUUAUUAUGUUAUUUUCCUUAAACUCUGAUGUAUAAAGACACUUAGCAUUUCUCUUUAUAGCUUGUGACUUAUUUCUACCGGGUUUUGGGAGUUAUAAUUAUUUUGAACCGCAGUUUUUAUAUAUUUCAUAUGUUGAGGUUUGAGUUCUGUUUUAUAUUCUGUUAUUCCGCAAAAUUGUUUGGCUUACCUAGUCAUAGAGACUAGGUACCGUCACGAUAUCCUGUAGAGAGAAAUUUGGGUCGUGACACUCAUUUACCC